rnacentral:rRNA from 1 species
UACGUAGGGUGCAAGCGUUAAUCGGAAUUACUGGGCGUAAAGCGUGCGCAGGCGGCUAUAUAAGACUGAUGUGAAAUCCCCGGGCUCAACCUGGGAACUGCAUUGGUGACUGUAUAGCUGGAGUGCGGCAGAGGGGGAUGGAAUUCCGCGUGUAGCAGUGAAAUGCGUAGAUAUGCGGAGGAACACCGAUGGCGAAGGCAAUCCCCUGGGCCUGCACUGACGCUCAUGCACGAAAGCGUGGGGAGCAAAC